AGUGAACGCUGGCGGCGUGCUUAACACAUGCAAGUCGCACGAGAAAGCUUCUGCUUGCAGAGGCGAGUAAAGUGGCGCACGGGUGAGUAACACGUGGGUAAUCUACCUCCGAAUUGGGGAUAACAUUGCGAAAGCGAUGCUAAUACCGGAUGACAUUACAGGUUCUUCGGGACUUGUGAUCAAAGGUGGCCUCUUCAUGAAAGCUAUUGUUUGGAGAUGAGCCCGCGUCCCAUUAGCUAGUUGGCAGGGUAAUGGCCUACCAAGGCAACGAUGGGUAGCUGGUCUGAGAGGAUGAUCAGCCACACUGGAACUGGUACACGGUCCAGACUCCUACGGGAGGCAGCAGUGAGGAAUUUUGCGCAAUGGGGGAAACCCUGACGCAGCAACGCCGCGUGAGUGAUGAAGGCUUUCGAGUCGUAAAGCUCUGUCAAGUGGGAAGAAGUCAUGCAUGGCCAAUAUCCAUGUAUGUUGACGGUACCACUGAAGGAAGCACCGGCUAACUCCGUG
rnacentral:rRNA from 1 species